AAGAAUUUUUAGGGUUAGAUUUCGAUCUUCCCGAACCUUCUAUUUAUCCUAAACACCUGUGCAUUUGUGUUGUGUUCCCGCAAGGGAAUCUCACACACAAACAUUUUUAUCACACAAAACUCUAUGUUUUUUGAACGUUAAUAACAAUUAAAAUAAAAGUA
rnacentral:misc_RNA from 1 species